rnacentral:tRNA from 1 species
GGAGAGUUGUCCGAGCUGGCCGAAGGAGCACGACUGGAAAUCGUGUAAACGGUUACCGCCGUUUCGAGGGUUCGAAUCCCUUGCUCUCCGCCA